CAAACAGUUUUUUUCAAAACUAUCACAUUUUUACAGCAAAUUUGAA
rfam:Triticum aestivum genome assembly, contig: Triticum_aestivum_CS42_TGACv1_scaffold_288497_4AL